rnacentral:rRNA from 1 species
UGCAAGUCGAACGGAGAAUUUCAAAGAGCUUGCUCGGAGAAAUUUUUAGUGGCGGACGGGUGAGUAACGCGUGGGUAACCUACCCAUAAACUCGGGACAACCCUUGGAAACGAGGGCUAAUACCGAAUAAUCUUUUGAUGCGGCAUCGUAUUAAAAGGAAAGGUGGCCUCUGUACAUGCUACCGAUUAUGGAUGGACCCGCGUCUGAUUAGCUAGUUGGUGGGGUAAAGGCCUACCAAGGCGACGAUCAGUAGCCGGCCUGAGAGGGUGAACGGCCACACUGGGACUGAGACACGGCCCAGACUCCUACGGGAGGCAGCAGUGGGGAAUCUUCCGCAAUGGACGAAAGUCUGACGGAGCAACGCCGCGUGUAUGAUGAAGGUCUUCGGAUUGUAAAGUACUGUCUUUGGGGAAGAAUGAUGUAUUUGAAAAUAUUGAGUACAUAUGACGGUACCCAAGGAGGAAGCCCCGGCUAACUACGUGCCAGCAGCCGCGGUAAUACGUAGGGGGCAAGCGUUGUCCGGAAUUAUUGGGCGUAAAGGGCGCGUAGGCGGAUAGUUAAGUCCGGUGUGAAAGAUCAGGGCUCAACCCUGAGAGUGCAUCGGAAACUGGUUAUCUUGAGGACAGGAGAGGAAAGUGGAAUUCCACGUGUAGCGGUGAAAUGCGUAGAUAUGUGGAGGAACACCAGUGGCGAAGGCGACUUUCUGGACUGUAACUGACG